CGCAGCCGCGGUAAUUCCAGCUCCAAUAGCGUAUAUUAAAGUUGUUGCAGUUAAAAAGCUCGUAGUUGAACUUCGGGGUUUACCCAUUGGUCAGGCUUAAUUGUCUGUACUGGUGAGAUGAAUCUCUACCUUCUGAGGAACUUUCAUGCCAUUUAUUUGGUGUGAUGGGAAAUCAGGACUGUUACUUUGAAAAAAUUAGAGUGUUUAAAGCAGGCUAACGUCUGAAUACAUUAGCAUGGAAUAAUGAAAUAGGACGGACUGAUUCUAUUUCGUUGGUUUCUAGGAUCACCGUAAUGAUUAAUAGGGAUAGUUGGGGGCAUUAGUAUUCAAUUGUCAGAGGUGAAAUUCUUGGAUUUAUUGAAGACUAACUACUGCGAAAGCAUUUGCCAAGGAUGUUUUCAUUAAUCAAGAACGAAAGUUAGGGGAUCGAAGACGAUCAGAUACCGUCGUAGUCUUAACCAUAAACUAUGCCGACUAGGGAUCGGACGAAGUUAAUUUUAUAAUGACGCGUUCGGCACCUUACGG
rnacentral:rRNA from 1 species